rnacentral:miRNA from 1 species
AGGGAACGGUUGCUGAUGAUGUA